rnacentral:rRNA from 1 species
UGGGGAAUAUUGGACAAUGGGGGCAACCCUGAUCCAGCAAUGCCACGUGUGUGAAGAAGGUCUUCGGAUUGUAAAGCACUUUCGACGGGGACGAUGAUGACGGUACCCGUAGAAGAAGCCCCGGCUAACUUCGUGCCAGCAGCCGCGGUAAUACGAAGGGGGCUAGCGUUGCUCGGAAUGACUGGGCGUAAAGGGCGUGUAGGCGGUUUACACAGUCAGAUGUGAAAUCCCCGGGCUUAACCUGGGAGCUGCAUUUGAUACGUGUAGACUAGAGUGUGAGAGAGGGUUGUGGAAUUCCCAGUGUAGAGGUGAAAUUCGUAGAUAUUGGGAAGAACACCGGUGGCGAAGGCGGCAACCUGGCUCAUGACUGACGCUGAGGCGCGAAAGCGUGGGGAGCAAACAGGAUUAG